ensembl:snoRNA small nucleolar RNA SNORD41
CUAGAGGUGAUGCAUUAAAAACACCUGACUGUGACUGAUGGCUUUUGUAUUCAUACUGUCUGAUCUAG